rnacentral:rRNA from 1 species
UACGUAGGGGGGCUAGCGUUGUCCGGAAUCAUUGGGCGUAAAGAGCGUGUAGGCGGUCCGGUAAGUCCGCUGUGAAAGUCGGGGGCUCAACCCUCGAAUGCCGGUGGAUACUGUCGGGCUAGAGUGCGGAAGAGGCGAGUGGAAUUCCUGGUGUAGCGGUGAAAUGCGCAGAUAUCAGGAGGAACACCAAUGGCGAAGGCAGCUCGCUGGAACGGUACUGACGCUGAGGCGCGAAAGCGUGGGGAGCGAACAGG